rnacentral:lncRNA from 1 species
CGGACAGAUUUUUGAACACUGUAGAUAUUUUGAACAAAAAAUUUGAAGGCAUCAGUACUUCAUCUUCUUCAUUUUGAAGAGGACAAAAACCCUACACUCCCUAAAACCAACCCGUCAACCUCCGUAAACCAGCCCCCUCUCCCCUGAACGCCAUACCUUUCCCAGCCCGUCGUCGACCAACCCCACUGUCACGCCAAACAACCACCUGAAACCAGCAGCACCAGCCAUGAACGACCUCAACCAAACGCCCGCCAGCUGAACCUCCAGCUUCCAUUCCCGUCGACCAGCAACCCCCCGCCAGUCGACCACCCCUUCCACUUCUAGUCACCUCCAGUCGCAGCUUCAGAUGAACGCCGACCCAGCUGCUCCAGCGACAGCAGCGUCCCCACGAGCACCGGCUGCUGUUCAUCUUCUUCGUCUUCUUCCCGUUUCUGCUGUACUAAACGAGUGAGGUUCGAUCGAGUUUCAGUGCCGUUUUGCAGUUUUGGGUUCGCAAACGGGGUCGAGCUGAGGAUUGAGGUCGUCGUUGUCCGGGGUGAGGCUUUGUUCGAGUCAUUGUCUUUCAUUCGAGCUUCGAAACAGAUUUGCUAAGGUUCGCUUCUAUUUCUCUCCUCCUCGUUCAGGGUUAUUCAAAUGAAAUCUUAUUCCGUUACUUGCGCUUUAUUUUACUUCCGUGUUUACAUAUUAGCGAUUAAAUCUGUUUGGUCUGGACUCGUUAUCACAUAACAUUCCCGUGUUCUUGAUUUUAUUUAUGUGUUGGUGAUGAGUUUUUUGGUUUCGAUAUGUUGGAGUCGUUUGGCAAGUGUUUAAGUAGAGAAUAGGUUAUGCAUUUUCUGACAUUUCUUGGAUACCAUUCAACCUCACUUCAAUUGUUAGCUUUUCUUUAUUAAAUUUAUUAACAAUGACCAUUUCUCUUUCUCGUACUUAGAUUAACCAUCAUUUAAAAAAUGCUAAAGAAUUUCUAAUCCGUGUUUCCAUCUUUUACUUUGUUUUUUUUAAAGUUUUCUGUUUGUGUUUUUACAUCUUAUGAUUUGGAAUUUGAGACUAUUGUUUAUUUUAUUCUAGCUUGGUGAUUAAUUGUUUGCUUGGUGAUAUGAUUUUAUUGUUUGUGUAGUUGAUCUCCAUAGUCUUAAAUUUUCUCACUUAGUUAUCUAAUAGUAUGUUUACUCGAAUUUGUUAUAGCUGAGCAUGAUUUUGUCACAUUAUAGAAAUUGGUUUGUUAUUCUUCAACUGAACUACGUAAUUAGAUUAAAGGAAUCGGGGGUGCAUUUCAUGUGACCCGGCUCCAAUUUGGAACAAGGUUAAAUAAAGCGUGUCAUGAACCUCGGGUGCAUUUCAUGUAGCGUGGCUUGCAAUAUAUUUUAAAUAACCUUGAAUUAACUCAUUAAAUAAAUAUAGCGGAAUGUAGUUCUGUUUUAAAUAAUAAAAUGAGACGAGCCUUCCCAAAUAAAACGCACACACUGUGGGGCCCUCAUAAAUAUAUAUAUUAAAAAUACUUAGAUUUCGGGACGGGCUGUUUAGUAAAUUCCACGGCCCUCCCCAAAUAAUAACGCGUUAGUCCCUUUAGGCACGUGUUUAAUAACUUUACCUUCUUAAAUUCGGGUAUGCAUUUCAUGCGAUCAAAAUUCAGAUCCCAAAAUGUCGAAUCAUAUGUGUUCAGGAUUGCGUGUGUAUUUCAUGUGACGCGAUCCAAAGAAAUGAUUCAAACGACGUUCAACUUUCUUUAAUAAUUUGAAUAAGAGCGGUUAAUAGUUAAAAUUGGCAUAUAAGUUACAACAUAUUUUAAAAAUCAGAUAAAUAAGCCAAAUAUGACAGUUGAGCGACCGUGCUAGGACCACGAAACUCGGGAAUGCCUAACACCUUCUCCCGAGUUAACAGAAUUCCUUACUCGGAUUUCUGGUACGCGGACUGUUAAAUAGAGUCAUUCUUUUCCUCGAUUCGGGAUUCAACCGGUGACUUGGAACACCAUAAAUCUCCCAAGUGGUGACUUUGAAUUUUAAUAAUAAAUCUUGUUUCGAUUGUCCUUUAUUGAAAAAACUCCCUCUGCGCCCCUGCGGGCGCGGGUAAAAAGGAGGUGUGACAAUCGUACAUUACCUGUCCCGCUGGGAUGGAUCCGUUGAUGUCCAUUCCUUAUUUGAUGAAAAGCUAAUGAGAGGUGACUGAGUGGAGGUGCUCACCCUCUUGGUGGAUCAUGGGGGCGUACUUUUGGCGUUGCUCGCAUUUUUAAGAAGUCAGCAGCCUUUUUUCAUCGCGGGCCAGUAGUAGCCUACUCGUAUGAGGCAUAUGACGAGAGCUUGAUUGCCGAUGUGAGCUCCACAGUGACCUUCGUGUACUUCCUCGAGGACGCACCGCAUCUGAUUUGGGCGUAUGCAUUUUGCU